rnacentral:rRNA from 1 species
CUAUAAUCGAUAACCCACGCUAAACCUCUCCCACAAUUGUACCACCAGCCUAUAUACCUCCGUCGCCAGCCCGCCUGAUAACAGACACCAAGCGAGUAUAAUAGUCCAACCACUAGCACGACAGGUCAAGGUGUAGCUAAUAUGUGGGCUGCAAUGGGCUACAUUUUUUAUUCUUAAAACAAACCCGAGUGUUAUGAAAACCGCACAAAAAGGUGGAUUUAGCAGUAAGCAAGGAUUAGCAUGCCCGCCUGAAACCUGCCCUGAG